rnacentral:ncRNA from 1 species
CACUCUUAUCGGCAAACUGUUUGAAAAAACAGGACGCAAAGCCACCGGUCUAAGGGCUCACUUCAUUGUUUGAGCUUAUGAUAGCGGGGCCGCCAUU